CGCGAGGCGGAGACAGACAGAGGUUGACAGGAGGUGUGGAGACGGCCGCCGCCAUCUCACACACACACACCGUGUCCUUACCAGGAGGCCGGGCCGGGGCCGGGCGGUGCGGCCGCCGUGGGCUCGCUGUCCUCCCCGCGACCAACACAAUUUCAACAUCCAAUUCUAUGAAGGGGAUGAAUGACCAGCUGCCAAUGCCCAUUUCCACAUUAACAUCAUCCAGCCCAGCAAGAUCGCAGCAAUACAACGCCGGCCUUUGUCCAGAUGAAAUACUUCCUUUGGCUGCUCGUUAAUUAAUGAUCCCCCAAGGAUGAUUGGGAAAGGUGAAUUGGACGAGGUAUAUCCGCGCUUUAUUCCAAUUAACACAGCGUUGCAAAGCGGGGAAAGGCUGAAAGCUGAACGGUGUCUGGACUCAUCAGAUGUCUUGCUUAGAAUGCAAACACCGUUAAAGUUGCAUCUCGAUCAUUAACACCGCGAAUGCGCGCUUUAGCAGGAUCUGAAUGCUAGCUUGCAUGCACAGUUUGAACAAAACGUUUCUCCAAAAGUAUAAAAGUUAAAAAUACAACUGAAAUACUGAUUGCUUAACUUUGGAAUUUCCUAUCGCGAAAUUAUUUUGGGGCAUGCAUUAUUCAGGGUAGGUGGACUGCCGAAGAUCCCAAUUACAACCUGAACGAUUUUUAGUACGUUUAGUGUUUUCAGAAGAAGUAUUGUUUUUUUUAAUUCAGUGCCGUGGUCCUAUACUAACAUUUCAAUGUGAUAUUCACCAGUAUGGCAACUUUGACAUUGAAGAAUAACAAUCAGACGUGAACGCAUGUCAAGUACAGAGAAUAGAACAGCUCAUAUAUUUACAUAUAACAUUUAAUUGUACACGUUUGGCAGCGUAAAUAUAUCAUAAAUGGGUUAAGAUAUGUUUCGAAUGUAAUAUUCCCCUAAAGAAAUGUGCUAGUUUAUCUCAGAGAUAGGAAUAGCAAUUCGGAAAGCGUUUUACUGGAAAUUAAUCAAAAUCUUAGUUCCGGAAGCAAUCUCCGUUGUCCAAAGUGUGAGAGGAAACUCAUUAAGUAACAGGUGAACGGGGCAAAUACUAGAUGCGAUAUUUUUUUUUAGCAAAUGGACCAGAAGCUCAGACGAAACGGCGACAAAUAAAAGUUUGAAUUGAUCUUUACGCCUUAGCUAUGAAAAAUCGGCUCAGGUUUGUAAAUAGGACAAAAUGACAUGCAUAUUAGCCACAGAGAUCAGCCGCGGACAGUAUACUUUGAAAUGGUGCUUAAUCUUCAUGGAAUUGAUUUCUUUGCAAGAGCAGAGUGUUUCUGUGUGUGUUAAACACUCGAGCCAAAAAAGCAAGGCCGACAUGGAAGAACUAUGUCCAAACACAAAGGCUAAAUGCGGUGCCAUGUUUAGCCAGAGGCCUGGCGUGGACAUCAUAUAUUUUAAAGAACCCGAUUCUCGCAGAUCUUUGAGAAGCCACAAUGUUCCACACUUCCUGGCCGUGUGCUUUGUGGUUUAAUUGUGCAAUAUGGACGGGGAGAGAGAGGAUGGGCACAGAAGAUUCAAGGAGUGGUUGGUGGUGAUGUUUCCAUCACCCCACAAAAUCAGCCCCCAUCCCAGCCCCGCUCCUUCACCCGCUGCAGCCCAUUGGAAAAACCCUCCUAUCUGGGCGAUGAACCGAUCACGCUGAAUAUUUGUUCCCAGUGCCAGUUUCAUUCAUCUAAACCCUCUUUAACUCACGCUGCCUCGCUAGUCCCCAACUAUAAAACCUCUGCUAUUCAUUAAUCAAACGACCAACACUGGGACACGACGGGGCCAAAUAAUUGCCGAAAUGGGUAACUCGAAGAACAUUUUGAGACGCAAAUAUCCGUAGCGUUUGUUUUUCACGACAGCAUUUACCACAAAAAAAAACCCCCUUCAAAUACCGGGAAACGGUUUUUGUUUGCCCAUUGGCCAGAAUUCAGGUGGCAUGGGAUUCCGGCUUUUCGCGGCGUCAAUGGGUCGUUAUAUUAACAAUAUUCAACCAUAUUCAACCGCUCACCGUUUCCCUUCAAUGGCCAAAUUAUUGAUCGUAAUUCAACUCCAUACACGAAUGAUAGGUGCUUGGAAAUCGCAACCGACUCGGGUUGCUGGAGAUUACACUGUUUGUGCUGAUUCUUAUUUACUCGUUUUGGGUGUUAUUUGUUGAGAUUAAUAUUGUACUCCAGCGCUCUUGGUGAAAUUAACGAUUUUUAAAAAUCGACCUAUUGAUGUGUAAGCACACACACACACACACACACACACACACACACACACACACACACACACACACACACACACACA